rnacentral:siRNA from 1 species
CGAGAGAAACGCAUUAUGCGGAAC